UACGUAGGGGGCAAGCGUUGUCCGGAUUCAUUGGGCGUAAAGAGCGUGUAGGCGGCCAGGUAGGUCGGUUGUGAAAACUGGAGGCUCAACCUUCAGAGGUCGACCGAAACCAUCUGGCUAGAGUCCGGGAGAGGAGAGUGGAAUUCCUGGUGUAGCGGUGAAAUGCGCAGAUAUCAGGAAGAACACCCGUGGCGGAAGCGGCUCUCUGGAACGGUACUGACGCUGAGACGCGAAAGCGUGGGGAGCGAACAGG
rnacentral:rRNA from 1 species